UACGAAGGGUGCAAGCGUUACUCGGAAUUACUGGGCGUAAAGCGUGCGUAGGUGGUGAGUUAAGUCUGUCGUGAAAGCCCCGGGCUCAACCUGGGAAUGGCGAUGGAUACUGGCUCGCUAGAGUGCGGUAGAGGAGAGUGGAAUUCCCGGUGUAGCAGUGAAAUGCGUAGAGAUCGGGAGGAACAUCAGUUGCGAAGGCGGCUCUCUGGACCAGCACUGACACUGAGGCACGAAAGCGUGGGGGAGCAAACAGGG
rnacentral:rRNA from 1 species